rnacentral:rRNA from 1 species
UGGGGAAUUUUGGACAAUGGGCGAAANCCUGAUCCAGCAAUGCCGCGUGUGUGAAGAAGGCCUUCGGGUUGUAAAGCACUUUUGUCCGGAAAGAAAUCCUUGGCUCUAAUACAGUCGGGGGAUGACGGUACCGGAAGAAUAAGCACCGGCUAACUACGUGCCAGCAGCCGCGGUAAUACGUAGGGUGCAAGCGUUAAUCGGAAUUACUGGGCGUAAAGCGUGCGCAGGCGGUUUGCUAAGACCGAUGUGAAAUCCCCGGGCUCAACCUGGGAACUGCAUUGGUGACUGGCAGGCUAGAGUAUGGCAGAGGGGGGUAGAAUUCCACGUGUAGCAGUGAAAUGCGUAGAGAUGUGGAGGAAUACCGAUGGCGAAGGCAGCCCCCUGGGCCAAUACUGACGCUCAUGCACGAAAGCGUGGGGAGCAAACAGGAUUAGAUACCCUGGUAGUCCACGCCCCUAAACGAUGUCAACUAGUUGUUGGGGAUUCAUUUCCUUAGUAACGUAGCUAACGCGUGAAGUUGACCGCCU